rnacentral:rRNA from 1 species
GAUGAACGCUGGCUACAGGCUUAACACAUGCAAGUCGAGGGGCAGCACGAAGAUAGCUUGCUAUCUUGGGUGGCGACCGGCACACGGGUGAGUAACGCGUAUCCAACCUGCCCAUUACUCGGGGAUAGCCUUGCGAAAGUAAGAUUAAUACCCGAUGUUGUUUGAUUGCCGCAUGACGAUCAAACCAAAGAUUUAUUGGUAAUGGAUGGGGAUGCGUGACAUUAGGUAGUAGGUGAGGUAACGGCUCACCUAGCCGACGAUGUCUAGGGGUUCUGAGAGGAAGGUCCCCCACACUGGAACUGAGACACGGUCCAGACUCCUACGGGAGGCAGCAGUGAGGAAUAUUGGUCAAUGGACGAGAGUCUGAACCAGCCAAGUAGCGUGCAGGAUGACGGCCCUCUGGGUUGUAAACUGCUUUUAGUUGGGAAUAAAAAGAGGGACGUGUCCCUAAUUGUAUGUACCAUCAGAAAAAGGACCGGCUAAUUCCGUGCCAGCAGCCGCCGUAAAAC